CAUAUUAUAGAGUUACAAACAAUUAUUCAUGUAGGUUAUUCUCUCCUCUUCCCACCCCAAUAAUAAACGGUAUACUUGAAAUUGUAUUAUACUAUCUUUUAACACGGCGUGCGUAAACGCAAUUUACGCUAAGAAAGUUUUAUUUUCACAAGUUUUACACUGUUGCGGCACCAUCUGCGCCUGUUACAUGUUUGAAGAUCACCUGCUUUGUUAAUGAGUCAUAUUAAAGAACAUAAACGAAAUUUACAUAAACUACGUCUCGUGAUAAUUUGCAAAACCUUGUGUAAUACUACUUAUAUUACGAGUCGCUUAUACGCCUACGUGAUAAUGUAAUAUAUUUCUAAUAAACUAUGAAAGCGUGUUCUGCUACGUU